GUACGGAUCCAUCUUCAUAAUUGG
rnacentral:piRNA from 1 species